rnacentral:rRNA from 1 species
UUGGAGGGCAAGUCUGGUGCCAGCAGCCGCGGUAAUUCCAGCUCCAAUAGCGUAUAUUAAAGUUGUUGCAGUUAAAAAGCUAGUAGUUGAAUUUCGGGAUCUAUCCGUCGGUCGGGCCUCACGGUCCGCACUGGUGUGAUGGAUUCCUACCUUCUGAACAUCCGGUAUGCCAUUAAUUUGAUGUGCCGGGGAAGCAGAACCAUUACCUUGAAAAAAUUAGAGUGCUCAAAGCAGGCUUGUGCCUGAAUACAUUAGCAUGGAAUAAUAAAAUAGGACGGCAUGGUUCUAUUUUGUUGGUUUCUAGGAUCACCGUAAUGAUUAAUAGGGAUAGUUGGGGGCAUUAGUAUUCAAUUGUCAGAGGUGAAAUUCUUGGAUUUAUUGAAGACUAACUUCUGCGAAAGCAUUUGCCAAGGAUGUUUUCAUUAAUCAAGAACGAAAGUUAGGGGAUCGAAGACGAUCAGAUACCGUCGUAGUCUUAACCAUAAACUAUGCCGACUAGGGAUCGGAUGAUGUUAAUUUUUUAAUGACUCAUUCGGCGCCUUACGGGAAAC